GGAUGAACGCUGGCGGCGUGCCUAAUACAUGCAAGUCGAACUAGUUCUGAUUAUUGAAAGGUGCUUGCAUCUUGAUUUAAUUUUGAACGAGUGGCGGACGGGUGAGUAACACGUGGGUAACCUGCCCUUAAGUGGGGGAUAACAUUUGGAAACAGAUGCUAAUACCGCAUAAAUCCAAGAACCGCAUGGUUCUUGGCUGAAAGAUGGCGUAAGCUAUCGCUUUUGGAUGGACCCGCGGCGUAUUAGCUAGUUGGUGAGGUAACGGCCCACCAAGGCAAUGAUACGUAGCCGAACUGAGAGGUUGAUCGGCCACAUUGGGACUGAGACACGGCCCAAACUCCUACGGGAGGCAGCAGUAGGGAAUCUUCCACAAUGGACGCAAGUCUGAUGGAGCAACGCCGCGUGAGUGAAGAAGGCUUUCGGGUCGUAAAACUCUGUUGUUGGAGAAGAAUGGUCGGCAGAGUAACUGUUGUCGGCGUGACGGUAUCCAACCAGAAAGCCACGGCUAACUACGUGCCAGCAGCCGCGGUAAUACGUAGGUGGCAAGCGUUAUCCGGAUUUAUUGGGCGUAAAGCGAGCGCAGGCGGUUUUUUAAGUCUGAUGUGAAAGCCCUCGGCUUAACCGAGGAAGUGCAUCGGAAACUGGGAAACUUGAGUGCAGAAGAGGACAGUGGAACUCCAUGUGUAGCGGUGAAAUGCGUAGAUAUAUGGAAGAACACCAGUGGCGAAGGCGGCUGUCUGGUCUGUAACUGACGCUGAGGCUCGAAAGCAUGGGUAGCGAACAGGAUUAGAUACCCUGGUAGUCCAUGCCGUAAACGAUGAAUGCUAGGUGUUGGAGGGUUUCCGCCCUUCAGUGCCGCAGCUAACGCAUUAAGCAUUCCGCCUGGGGAGUACGACCGCAAGGUUGAAACUCAAAGGAAUUGACGGGGGCCCGCACAAGCGGUGGAGCAUGUGGUUUAAUUCGAAGCAACGCGAAGAACCUUACCAGGUCUUGACAUCUUUUGAUCACCUGAGAGAUCAGGUUUCCCCUUCGGGGGCAAAAUGACAGGUGGUGCAUGGUUGUCGUCAGCUCGUGUCGUGAGAUGUUGGGUUAAGUCCCGCAACGAGCGCAACCCUUAUGACUAGUUGCCAGCAUUUAGUUGGGCACUCUAGUAAGACUGCCGGUGACAAACCGGAGGAAGGUGGGGAUGACGUCAAAUCAUCAUGCCCCUUAUGACCUGGGCUACACACGUGCUACAAUGGAUGGUACAACGAGUUACGAGACCGCGAGGUCAAGCUAAUCUCUUAAAGCCAUUCUCAGUUCGGACUGUAGGCUGCAACUCGCCUACACGAAGUCGGAAUCGCUAGUAAUCGCGGAUCAGCACGCCGCGGUGAAUACGUUCCCGGGCCUUGUACACACCGCCCGUCACACCAUGAGAGUUUGUAACACCCGAAGCCGGUGGCGUAACCCUUUUAGGGAGCGAGCCGUCUAAGGUGGGAC
rnacentral:rRNA from 1 species